UACGUAGGGUGCAAGCGUUGUCCGGAAUUAUUGGGCGUAAAGAGCUCGUAGGCGGUUCGUCGCGUCGGCUGUGAAAACCCGGAGCUCAACUCCGGGCCUGCAGUCGAUACGGGCGGACUUGAGUGUUGCAGGGGAGACUGGAAUUCCUGGUGUAGCGGUGAAAUGCGCAGAUAUCAGGAGGAACACCGGUGGCGAAGGCGGGUCUCUGGGCAGUAACUGACGCUGAGGAGCGAAAGCGUGGGGAGCGAACAGG
rnacentral:rRNA from 1 species